rnacentral:lncRNA from 1 species
GGGGGUCAGGAGUGGUUUUCAAGAGUCAGACACAACUUGGCCACCAAACCACACCGAGCUUACUUGGGAAUUUAUGUCUCAGUCCUUGACGUGAGGUGGGAAAACUGUUUUCUAUACAUUCCAGAAGCCAGCAUUUCAGAAGUGCUGGAAAGACAAACAGGAGGAGGUGGAGAAAUACAGAGACUGGCUUCGGUUCUAACCACCCUCUUCAGGUAUAUCACCAAGCCCAGCCAGGCGACAUCUAGUGGUCAACCUUGGAUCACCGUGAAGUUUUUGCCUGAAUGUCUCUCACGUGGGGCUAUUUUGCCAUUGGCGGCCCUUUUGGCAUGUCCUGGGUUUGUCGCGAGAUUUGAAGUUGAGUAUAAGCACGGCCCGAAUACAUGUUUUAGUUUUCCAGCCUCUCAAAGACGUGGUGACUGCGCCAAGGCACUCUACUGUUUCUGCAUCAAACAGCAAGACACUAAUGAUUGUCUGGACAAAAUCAGAGACGGCCUUGGACUCCGUGUGAGCAAUGACCGCCGGUGCCUGUGAGCAGGACUUCCCUGGGACACCAGGGAGUCCUGCACACUACUGCUGGAUAAAGCCAUACAUUCUUCCUUCCAUUUGCACUUUUCUCCGUUAGAGAAACUCCAGCAUCCUUGCCUAAAAUACGUGCCCUCCAGCUCUGCAGUCCAGGGAUCCCAUGGGUAAGUGACGGAAGCUGACUUUCCAAGCAGAGAAAUCCCUCCCUUUUGUCAAAUGGGCUCCAUCUACAUUUCCACCCAUGUUUCUUGACUCUUCCUCUAUGCUCAGGCCAUUUUUUUAAACCCCAAAUUCUUUCCCCUCUUUUCUGCUAAGAAAUGUUUUAUACUAGGAAGACUUUCUUAACUAAGAAGGCUGCUCUUUUUAUUUUAGACUUCUUGAUUACUUGGCCAGACAGAAAUC